rnacentral:rRNA from 1 species
UACGGAGGAUGCGAGCGUUAUCCGGAUUUAUUGGGUUUAAAGGGUGCGUAGGCGGUUGAUUAAGUCAGUGGUGAAAGUUUGAGGCUCAACCUUAAAAUUGCCAUUGAAACUGGUUAACUUGAGUAUAAAUGAAGUGGGCGGAAUUUGUGGUGUAGCGGUGAAAUGCAUAGAUAUCACGAGGAACUCCAAUUGCGUAGGCAGCUCACUAAGCUAUAACUGACGCUGAGGCACGAAAGCGUGGGUAUCCAAC